rnacentral:lncRNA from 1 species
GGGCUCUAUGAAUAUAGGAGGCAGAUUUGGGUUCAGUAAUUUUAGCAUCAUUCAUUGUAAGGUGAUGAUCCCUAGGAACUUCAUCACACUGAGCAACAUGAAAGCUCCUAGCAGCCAGCAAUAAAUGAAAGGUGGGGCGGGUCCACUGGCAGGGUGGGGCCUUGUAAGCCUGGUGCUUAAGCUCUGAAUUCCACGUUGGGGGGGACACAUGCAAAGGAUUCUGGGCCUGAUUGUUUCCUCUAACCCGGAUGUGUUCUGGUUGGCAGGGCAACUGGCCUUCACUUGGUGGCUUUCAGUGGGUGCCCUCAUUGGUUGCCUUUGGUUAGUGCCCUCAGUUGGUACCCUCAGUUGUUUCUCUUCAGUUGGUGGUCUGCAGUUCAUGGUUUUCAGUUGUUGGGCAGUGGUGGAAGGAGGAUGAAUCUGUGCUCUCUCCUCCCCAGGCCACAGCUCUCAGGCUUGUUGCAUCCAGUCCCUUCUAAAAUAAACCGGACAAGUUGGCAGUUUUUUUUUAGCAGACAAGUCAGCUCAGAGUACGGGGGUGACACAGGGUGCAGGCUGCUAGCACAGUGCCGCCCCAUGGCCCAGGGCUGCCCGUGCUGGCAAUGCUCUUGCCAGCAAGAGGCGAGAGUUGUUGAGGUCUGCAGACUUGGGGGCAAGUGAAGGCCCAAGCUGCCCGAGAAGAGCAGGGGUGUCCCAUGGGGACCACACUGAACUCUUGCAUGUGCACCAAAGCCAGCCCCAAUCAUGGCCGGCACAAGGGUUCUGCAGGACCAGCCUGUGGCUCUCAUGUCUACCAGCGUACAGACAGCAAAGACACACGACACGAUAUACAGGAGCAGAGGCGCCCAGAACACGCUGUCCCCCAAUGCCAGCCACAAGCGGGGCCAGCUCAGGGUGUAGUGGGUGAAGCCGUCCUGCAGCUCUGUGAUCCACAAGGCGGAGGUGGCAGUAGCACAGGACUCCACCGCUUUGGAGGCUGCCCAGUCGAAUUUGGGAGCCAGUGAGAGUCCUGACAGCAGCACAUUGGCCACCAGAAGACACCCAAAGGGAGAGGAGCGGAAGACCUUCUGGUGUGGGCUGGGCAGCAAUUCACUUGAAGGAGAAACAGCCCGGGUGUGGAGAGGCGGCUGUCCUUGGAGGGAUCCUUUCUAAGGAGCCGAGAAAUCAACGUAGAGCUUCCUCUAUCUGAUUCUCUAACAACUGCAGACCUUCCAUGAGUCAAGCUUUGUGUCAAAAGGACAAAUUAAAAGGACCUAUAAAUGGCACCACCCAGCCCAAUGGACAGAUGCCCCAGGCUGCAGAUUCUGUCAGUGCUGUUCUCGAAGAGGCCCAGGCACAUGCUGAAACAUGGAAGGAUAAGAAGCCAGCCCUCGGGAACCACCAGGAGCCAGGAGCACCCCCGGCCCCCCAAGGCCCCAAGUCCAGCCUGCCCCACCCCCUCCGGUGCAGAGGUCCUGUGACACCAGUGGCAGCCCCGCCACACCCCCCAAGGCCAAGGGCACAGGCAGCGUGGUCUUCCCCGCCCCGCCCGACUACUUCCUGCCGCCACAGCCACCAAUGCCGCCCCUGGAGUACCCAGAGCUCCCGCUGCCGUCCCCGGACUUCAUGGAGACCCCCCUGGACUUCGUGCUCCCUCCCCUCGCUGUCGCCAAGAGGCCUCCUAUGCCCCACCCCCCCAACAGGCACGAAGCAUCAAUGUUCACAAGCAGCAAAUGAAUAAAAGUUAAACGUUCUUCC